rnacentral:rRNA from 1 species
GACGUAGACCCGAAACCGGGCGACCUACCCAUGAGCAGGAUGAAGCGAAAGUAAAAUUUCGUGGAGGUCCGAACCCACGAGCGUUGAAAAGCUCGGGGAUGACUUGUGGGUAGCGGUGAAAUUCCAAUCGAGCCCGGAGAUAGCUGGUUCUCCCCGAAAUAGCUUUAGGGCUAGCCUCAAGGUGAGAGAUACGGAGGUAGAGCACUGAAUGUCCUAGGGGUAUUGCACCUACCGAAGACUAUCAAACUCCGAAUGCCGUCAUCUUAUACUUGGGAGUCAGACUGUGGGUGAUAAGAUUCAUAGUCGAAAGGGCAACAGCCCAGAUCGUCAGCUAAGGUCCCUAAAUGUAAGUUAAGUGGGAAAGGCGGUGGGAUUGCACAGACAACCAGGAUGUUGGCUUAGAAGCAGCCACUCAUUCAAAGAGUGCGUAAUAGCUCACUGGUCGAGUGAUCCUGCGCCGAAGAUUUCCGGGGCUAAAACUUACUACCGAAGCUACGGCAUCAGUAAUGAUGGGUAGGGGAGCUUCCCAUACGGGUUGAAGCAUGACCGUAAGGACAUGUGGACAGUAUGGGAGUGAGAAUGUUGGCA